UCGAAAAGCGCCGCCGAAAAAAUAAGAAACAGAGCGAUCGAAACAGACUCACACAAGCGAGCACAACCAAUGCUGCUAGAAACCGCCUCAGUUUUGUUCACUACCGCCAAAUGAAAAAAGAACGCCGCUAAAGCCUGCCGAACAAUUUUCACUCCGCUUCGUUUUUGUGCCCGCAGAAGCGCGGGUAGUAAAUUUAGGGUGCACUGUGAACCAGAUUAAGCAGCUUUGAACAGUCUGGUCUCAUCAAGCUGGGAUUUAGUCUCCCGAGCGACGGAAGAGCAUUCAACUAACGUCAGAUCGAAAAGACGCCGUCGAAGUUCCCUCUCCGCCACUUGAAGGGCAUUCGAAAGACACCAGAGUGGAAGUGCCCAUAGGUAGAGCGACUGGAAUUCCGAAUUUACCGCGAGAACGAAGACCACUCAUUCAAGGGUCUUUGUUUUGGCUUAUUUGCAGCUCUUCUGUCUGGCAGGAUCGCCGAAUCUGGAGCACGGCGGAAACAUACCGGAGGUGAACGUCUGCAUUGAAACGGUGGUAGCUAGCCACAUCACUGAGUGUAGGACUCUCAAGGAUCGCGCAUGUUCGGACAGCAGGCACUGGGAGCCGACAGCCACUGAAUGACAAGUAAUGGCGAACGGCGCGGAGAGCGAAUAGUGUCAAAGGGGAAGCAGAUAAAUGACGGUGCAGUAAGUAGUAGGAGUGUAAGAAAAGUGCAGUAGGAAGAAGAGAAAAGGCAUGAGAAGAGAUUAGGGAGGAAGCAUAGAGGAAGAGAGAAAGUAAGAAGAAAGAAGCCAUGGGAGAGGCCUAUAUAAUGCCUUACAAAAUGUUGACGUGGAGUUUUCCUUUCUCAGAACCAAUUUUCAUUUACCAUUUCGCUUAGUCGGACGAGGAAAGUGGUAGCUUUGCCGAAUCGUUCGGACGUGUCUUUGUGUUUGCCUAAUAUUUUUAAAGUUUGUCAGUGAAAUCAAGUGUAUUUAACAGGAAAUCCAAGCUAAUUGUUCACCAGAACAGAAAGUAUACAAUUUGUUCCGCUUAGGCGCCAUCUGAACUUGACUAGCCGAUGCAACGAUUC